rnacentral:lncRNA from 1 species
AUGCUUGCAUCAAAGGGAAGAAAGAAGGUGGAGGAGGAACAAAGGACUUGUCUGAUGAUCAAACACAGGGUUCGGGCUGAUCGCCAGCAAACGGCUUUCUGCCAUUUGUCUGAGGAUGUGUGCAAGCGUCUGCAAUGGUCACAUCGCUCCGUUUGCAAUGGUCACAUCACUCUGUUUGCAAUGGUCACAUCACCCCAUUUGCAAUGGCCACAUCGCUCCGUUUGCAAUGGCCACAUCGCUCUGUUUGCAAUGGCCACAUCACCCUGUUUGCAAUGGUCACAUCACCCCAUUUGCAAUGGUCACAUCACUCUGUUUGCAAUGGUCACAUCACCCCAUUUGCAAUGGCCACAUCACCCUGUUUGCAAUGGCCACAUCGCUCCGUUUGCAAUGGUCACAUCACCCCGUUUGCAAUGGUCACAUCGCUCCGACUGCAAUGGUCACAUCGCUCCGUUUGCAAUGGCCACAUCACCCCAUUUGCAAUGGUCACAUCGAAAGCGCUCAAGUUGCCACAGUUUUGCAUCGUGCCUGGGAGCACAGAAAAGAACAUCUCUCCUUAAAGCUUCGUUUCCUUGUAAUUUUAACGAGCAUUUCGGGUCAAUUCUCUCCCUGCCUUUCAGCAGUCUGUCUUGCUCUACAGUUGUUAGGUCAGGCCAGCUGGUUCRAAAUGCCGUUCUGGAUUUUUAUGUAUUUCAACAAAAAAAAGGCUUUGACGGCCAGAGCUGGGCACCCUUUWGGAACACACGCGCCUCCCGCGCCUGGCGGCGACCGUCCCUCUUUGCGCGCAGCGUCCCCAGAUCUCGCCUUGCCGAGCCCCGGCAAAGCAGGGCAGGUCACAGGAAGAAAACUGCAGGUUUCUGCGRGCGGAUUCACCCGGCUUCUGGCAAUGCCCGGAUCGGCGCUGCUGCAGCCCUCCGCGGGCUCCACGCGCCCGUAACCCCAGCGGGGGCCCACCUGGCACCCAGGCGCCCGCUGCAGCGGGGCAGGCGAUACGCUUCUGCCCGGUUUGGCCAACAUCUUCUUCUUCUUCUUCUUCUUCUUCUUCUUCUUCUUGCAACCAGCUCUGUUUCCAUCAAGAGAACCGUUCCCUAA